UCAGACGAUGCGUCAUGCAUAUCAAUAAGCGGAGGAAAAGAAACUAACAAGGAUUCCCUCAGUAACGGCGAGUGAAGCGGGAAGAGCUCAAAUUUGAAAUCUUGAAAGGUCACCUUUCACGAAUUGUAGUUUAAAGAAGUGUUUUCUGUUACGAUCGUAAUAUAAGUUCUUUGGAAUAGGACAUCACAGAGGGUGAGAAUCCCGUCUAUGAUUGCGAUUUGUAGCUUUGUGAUACACUUUCAAAGAGUCGGGUUGUUUGGGAAUGCAGCCCAAAACGGGAGGUAAAUUUCCUUCUAAGGCUAAAUAUUGGCGAGAGACCGAUAGCGAACAAGUACCGUGAGGGGAAGAUGAAAAGAACUUUGAAAAGAGAGUUAAAUAGUACGUGAAAUUGUCAAAAGGGAAGCGUUUGACACCAGUGUUGUUUUCUGAAAAUCAACCUCUGUUAGCUUUAUGCAUGUUUGUUUAGACCUAAUCAGCUAUCUUGCAUGUUCUAUUGUUUGCAGUGGUGCACUUUUCAGUUUACAGGUCAACAUCAGUUUUUUUUACCGUAAAAAAGUUAAAGAAAGGUAGCUCAUGGCUCCGGUCGUGAGUGUUAUAGUCUUUUUCCUAUGCGGUAGGAGAGACUGAGGUCUGCAGUGUAGGCUAUUUGGCUAGAUACUCAGGUGCUAUGUGAUACCAUUUCAUAAACAACUUGUUGAUUAUGUUUUGUCUAUUGCAUACUCGCUUGUACUAUCAUACCUACGCUUAGGAUGUUGAAGACUCUACAGAGAUA
rnacentral:rRNA from 1 species